rnacentral:rRNA from 1 species
AGAAGCGCCCAAAGGUGGGGGUGUUCACCCAUUAAAAGGGUUCGUGAGCUGGGUUCACAACGCUGUGAGGCAGUUGGUUUGAUAUCUAUUGGAGAUGCAUGGUAUCUGAAAGGAAAGGUCUUUUAGUACGAGAGGAACGAGGGCUUGGCGCCUCUGGUCUACCGGUUAUCUGACAAGGUAUGCCGGGCAGCUACGCGCUGGGGGAUAAAUGCUGAAAGCAUCUAAGCAUGAAACCCCCCUUGAAAAGAGAUACCUUAGGACAUCGCAAGAAGAGCGGUUCAUAGAACCGGUGUGUACGCAUCAAGCUUCGGCGAGAUGUUCAGCACGCGGUUACUAACGUCCAUCACUGGUUUGCU